rnacentral:rRNA from 1 species
CCUACGGGCGGCAGCAGUGGGGAAUAUUGCGCAAUGGGCGAAAGCCUGACGCAGCGACGCCGCGUGAGGGAUGAAGGUCUUCGGAUCGUAAACUUCUGUCAGCAGGGAAGAACGGUCACUGUGCUAAUCAGCAGUGAAUUGACGGUACCUGCAAAGGAAGCACCGGCUAACUCCGUGCCAGCAGCCGCGGUAAUACGGAGGGUGCGAGCGUUAAUCGGAAUUACUGGGCGUAAAGCGCUCGUAGGCGGUAUGUCAAGUCAAAGGUGAAAUCCCCGGGCUCAACGUGGGAACUGCCUUUGAAACUGGCAAACGUGAGUGUGUGAGAGGAUAGUAGAAUUCCAGGUGUAGGAGUGAAAUGCGUAGAGAUCUGGAGGAACACCAGUGGCGAAGGCGACCAUCUGGCACAUAACUGACGCUGAGGAGCGAAAGCGUGGGGAGCAAACAGGAUUAGAUACCCCUGUAGUC